CCUACGGGAGGCUGCAGUGGGGAAUAUUGCACAAUGGGGGAAACCCUGAUGCAGCAACGCCGCGUGAAGGAAGAAGGGUUUCGGCUCGUAAACUUCUAUCGAUAGGGACGAAAGAGAUGACGGUACCUAAAUAAGAAGCCCCGGCUAACUACGUGCCAGCAGCCGCGGUAAUACGUAGGGGACAAGCGUUAUCCGGAUUUAUUGGGUUUACAGGGUGCGCAGGCGGAAGAUCAAGUCAGCGGUAAAAUUGAGAGGCUCAACCUCUUCGAGCCGUUGAAACUGGUUUUCUUGAGUGAGCGAGAAGUAUGCGGAAUGCGUGGUGUAGCGGUGAAAUGCAUAGAUAUCACGCAGAACUCCGAUUGCGAAGGCAGCAUACCGGCGCUCAACUGACGCUCAUGCACGAAAGUGUGGGUAUCGAACAGGAUUAGAUACCCCUGUAGUC
rnacentral:rRNA from 1 species